rfam:Cronobacter phage CR3, complete genome.
GGAUCGUUAGCUCAAUUGGUUAGAGCAAGGGACUUUUAAUCCCGAGGUUCGGGGUUCGAGUCCCUGACGGUCCA